CACUCCUGCACGGGAGAGUCCCCGGAUCUCGUGGGUCAUCGCGAGGGGCGGGGCGCCGAAGGGGCAAUUCCUCCCCGGAACCUCUCAGGCCACCGGACCGUGCGGGUCAG
rnacentral:ncRNA from 2 species